AUUUGAGAGUGAAAUAGUCUAGCAGCAUAUGUUGGAACUUUAGGUGAAAGUAGUGGGUUUUUUUUAGCUUUGUGGAUGGGUUUCCAGCACACCCAGCCAUAUCUACCAUCUGGCAGUUUUGUUAGCAUUAAGACAGAUAUCCAAGUCGUCUAGGCAUCUAUUAUGUUUCAGACCAAUCUGAAAUCUCCAUGUGCCAAUACAUCCUUCAUCUAUUCCAAUUGGGAAUGUUCGAGAAUAGGAACCACUGAAGAACAAUGGAAGAAACCCUCAUACAUUAUGAGCCAUAUGGUUGUGAGAUGAUUUAGCAAAUUUGGUUUAUCAGAGUUUUUUUAGGAUGCUAA